ensembl:lncRNA
AUGGCCGUGCUCAGAGUGUCUUCUUACCGCAAGCUGUUCGAGGAGGAAAGCUGGAGUCGAAAUGGAGGGUUGAGUGCCUCCGUCAGGGGUGCGGCUGUUGACAAGUGCGACUGUGACAAGUUGGACUUUGUCGCUGCCAAGGAGCUCAACAAGGAGGGUCUGACCCGGUUUGUCCAGGACCGCACCGUCAUCGCUGCCCUCAACGACCGCCUGGUCCGGCUGAUUGAACUGGCUCAUUGUUUCGAGGAGCAGAACGAGUCUCUGGAAUGGCAGAUUGCUGAACUGGAGGAGAAGCUGAAGAGUCGUCAGGCCUCCACCUCCUCCUCCGGCAUCACCUCCGCCGUGGUGGUGCCUGACUACAGCCUGGAUGCGGUGGUGGAAAGACUGCGCAGGGAGAGGGAUGAGAUUCUGUGCGACACCGAGGAGCUGCAGAAGGAGCUCGAGCGUCUGAUGCGAGAGUACGAGGUGGCGGCGCAGCAGAGGAUCUUCUUACAGCAGGAGCGGCACGAUGUUGCAGAGGAAGUGGACGCCGUGACAGCAGGAUGUUUGGCGCUGAGGGAGCAAGUGGCUAUCUACGAGGAGCAGCUGGCCAACAUGGAGGCCCAGCACAAGACGGAGGUGGAGACUCUGCUGGAUCCAGCUGAAGGGGCUACAGGGGCGGUGGCAGCCAUUAGAUUUGGCAGCCCCGACAUCACUCCGGCCUUGGAUGUAAAGGAGUACUACUGCCAGCUGGCCGAGGGCCUCCAGUACGAUCUGGGUGCAGCGUCGUCUGCUGAGGUCCGCAGCGGUGAUGGAAAACAACUGGAAGUGGGCGGAGCUGCAGGGUCAACAGUCAAAGACCUGUCAGAGAUUAAGGACCCCCGUGAGAUGAAGGCGCUGAUUUCAGAGCUACAAAAGGAGCUCGCUGAGCUGGAGCAGUGUAACGAGGAGCUGGAGGACGAGGUCGACGUGAAGACGGCUGCGUACAUGGACGAGAUCGCCGAGCUGGAGUGUACCAUAGAUGAAAUGCGGCACCAGGACGCCGACUUCCAAGUGCAGAUGCAGGAGCAGGUUGAAGACUACAAGGAGCUGCUGAGUGAGAAGAUGGCCAGAGACAUGGAGAUCACCGCCUACAGGAGUCUGGUGGAGGAGGAGGAGGAGAGGCUGUGCAGCCUGUGAACUGAGGCCGGAGAGUCCGACUGGCUGGCUGAAAGUGUGUCUGGAUGCCCCCCUCCCACACACACACACAUAUGGAUUAGAAAACAGACAAAAGAGAAACAAGAAAAACACUUAAAUCUGCACCGGGAUGAAGCUUUAGGUAACCGACGCAGCAAUUCAAGCAGAUGUAAACUUAUCAUGACAGAUGAACGCCGUCUGGAGGCCUAAGCCGGGUCAUUGAUAACAGGCCGCUGGCAGAUGACCCCGAGACUCCAAGAAAGAUGGAGCUGUCUAAAAGUGGUGGGAGGACGGGAGUGUGUAUCCAUUCAGUGUCUGGCGGGGGAAAUUUCCUUAAGUGGGUUUUAUCUCCACUGGCGCGCUGAUACGAUUCAUAAAUGUUUUGCUCGCGCUUUGUCGAACCACCGACGCACGCUGUGCACCUCGUCCGUCACUCAAACCUCGUCUGAUUACCAGCUCUUAACCUUUGACCCCCUUCGCUGUCGGCAAACAUAUUGACAGCCCUCUCUUUGGUAACUAAAAGCAUCUCACCUUCCCUUUUGCUUUUACAGUCGUGCCUUCGCGUCGGCUCUGCGUACGACACUGAGCGUCGAGUAUGCAGCGCGGUGUUUGCUUUUCAAAUGGCUCAUGAAGUUUCCUGCAGCUCGAGCACCUGGAUCUCUCCACAAGAAAAAAAGGCCUCGGUGAUCCAUUAUUUUUUUUUUUUUUCUCCUUUUGAAAAGCAAUGUCGUUUCAGAAAUAAGCAUUCGGUAAUACAUUCUUCUGUAAUCUUUUCCUUAUUUCCUACGCGACUUCGGAGCUGCGUGUGAUAAAUCAUUUUUGGGUUCCUGCUUCUGCACGAGAAUGUUCUUCAGAUUGAAUUAAAUAAAACUAGUUGCUUGAGAGAUCGCCUCACGCUGUGUGAUGUCUUUUGUGAAAAUCUGUCUCAUGAGAACUGCUUGUGAAUCCUUCGGCUUAAGACUUUCUCCCCCCCCCCGCACUGUAAAACUAUGCGGAGUGAUUUAUGUUCUGUGAUCCUUCUUUCAUUCAUCUUCACGCUUAACAUGAGAUUUGAACAUUCCCAGCUAUUAACGAUCUCAAAGGCUUGUUAGGCUCUGCCAUAAAGAUGAAAAAUGCAGCUAAUAACGGAUCAGAUAAGAUUAGCCACACUCGGUGCACUCGCGGUGAUGAGGAGUUAGCCUCUGUAAUAAUUGAGCUCAGUGUCUGGAGAACGGGUGGCCGCGGCGACUUGUUUAAUUGUCCUGACGUGAAACAUGGCCGGCUCAGGACGAGGCCGCUGUGUCUGUUUUCCCAGAACCGCAGAGCUCAAUCAAGACGUUGCUUUCUUUCUAUAUCUCUCAGAGAAAAAAAAUCAGCAACAAACCACAAAAUAAGUUCCUGAUCUCAUGGGGCUGCUCUGUCUUUGCCUUGUGGUUAAAUUUCAAAAUAUCUAAGAAAAUCAUCUUCCUCUAAGAGUUCGGCUCCCCUGCUUUUAUCUUCUGCUGCCGUGCCUCUUGGGAAAAAGUCAGUUCACUGUAUGGAAAUCAAGGAAAUCCAUCAAAAAAAAAAAAAAAAAAGACCGGACAAGAAAAGUAAAGUUUAGACUUCCAGGAAAUUCAUCAUCCAUCCUGCUUUUGUAGACGUGUUUCUGCGCAGGAAGUGUGUUCUUCAGACAGCUGUGCGAGAGAAUUGAAGUUUAGUUUAAAAGAUUAGUUUGACAGCAACUAAUCCCUGUGACUAAGCAUUCAAAUAUCCAGCGAAGUAAACUCUAAUAAUACCCGGGAACAGGCGCAGGUUUAACAUUUGCAUUUUUAUUGCAUCCUACUUAUUUUGUACUAGUGCAGGUAAUAGUAGUCAGCAAAUGCCAAACAAUAAGAAAACAUGAUCGACAGCCUCGACAAUAAACAUCUAAACUCACAUAAAGGUCGCCUCAUUAUGGAUCCCACGUAGUCUUCACUCUACUUCUGAUUGGCUCUUAUAUUCUGACUUGUAAAUCUCUAUCAUCAUACCUAAAGCUAACGAACCCAAACAGCAAAGGCAACCAAUCAGAGGCAGAGUAAGGCUGUUCUUAGCUAUAAAGGCACCAGAAUAAUGCAGAAUGAAUAUAAAAAAGUGUAAAUAUACAAAAAUGACUUCAACUGAGCCACAUUAGAAAGCUCCGUGAGGACGUAGUCUGACACGUCUUGUGCUGAAUGCUAAUGUUAGCAUGUGUAGAAUGUGUGAUGUUUGUCAUGUAAACAAUCUUCCUUUAGCAUCUUAGCUAACAUGAAUUAGCGCUGAACACAAAGUAAAGCUAAUGUUGAUGGGACUGUCAUUACUUUUUCACAUAUUCAGUCAUCAGAAAAAUUGUGUUGUAUUGCGUGAUUUUACCUGCCAAAAAGGCAAAACUCUGCAUUCUUCUUUUAUUUACAUUUACAACAUUUCACCAAAACACACACGUUACAGAUCCAUGGUGGCUUCGGAUCAACAGACAGGGGAUCACCAAGUCGUCAGGAUUCAUCCUCUGGGGAGCACGAAAGUCUGUACAAACAGUCAGUCAGAUAGUUAAUGACGGUUUAAAGUAAGAACCAAAGUUGUUGACCAGUAAAUGCCACCCAUAGAACAAUGCUGCCAACACAGCAUUUUAGAAAAACACAAAUUCUUCUAACGACAACAAAAUAAAGGUCUAUAAUCUAUUAAAAGUUUACAACAGGAUAUAAGAAACUCUUCCAACAGUGGGAAAAUGUUCUCUGGGUAAAACAAAGCAAUGAGCUUUAUAUAAACUCUCUACAAAAACAAAAUAAGUGAUAAAACUAUGAGACAAAUCAACAAACUAUUCAAGAGACUUAAAUGUUAAUGAUGUGUUUGGAUUUGUUGCUUUGGUCGUUCCGGCCUCUGCAGCUUCUUUUAUAACCCAAUUAAGUGUUGCACAGCCCGGUGAUAUUUGUGAGUGUGGUGACCUCUGAACGCCUCUGUUUUCCUUUGCCCCCAUCACACGUCCUUGACAACUGAGAAAAAUGCGCGUUAACCCCUCAAAGCUGGCCGGUGACACUGAGUGGCCCGGGGCAGGACUGUGGCACUUCUUGCUCCUUGAAGCCGGACAAUUUGAUUUGAAGGCAGAGAAUUUCAAAGCUGAGUCAUGGAUCAGUGGUCAGCCAGUGGAUUGGCCUUUUCAUCCCCCUUUUUCUUUUUUUCUUUUCUUUUUCGCCUUGAUGGUUUCUGUGGACGGAGGAGGGGGUUGAGAAAGCAGCCAAAAACCGAAACCAACACCAACAAACAAAGAAAGUCGCUGCUGGGAAUGAAUGAGAGUGUGGCUGAAAGGAAAACCAUUUCGUCCAACAUAUGCUGUGGACAUAACAUCCAAUUAACUUCACGUGGUGCAGGAAUGUCUUUACAUUAAGAGUGGCAGGACCGGGGCUGAUAAAUUAUGACAUGUGAGCUCGUUGUGUCGUUCUACAUAUCUUCAAUCUGCAGCAGAGGAAUCUGAUUAAGGCCUGAGGUAAUGGUGGUCCAGGUCAGCUCGUACGACUCGGCUCAGCUGUCACCUACACAUAGGUAUCCCCAAAACUCCCUUCGGGUUCACCCGGACAAAUAAACACUGUCCUGAGUGAGGACAAGAGUCAUUUUUUUUAA